CUAAAGGAAACACUCUUGGUUACGCACUCACAAGAAUAUUGUAAAAGAAGGAUUGCUUUCUUUUUCUCUCCUUUCACAACUCUCUCACUCUCUCUUUCUGUCUCAAGCUCCCUCUAGCUCUCACUACAUGCAGCUAUAUUUGCUGAAGGUCGGUAUAGCUGCUUCUUCAAUUCUUCUCACAACCGUUCUAGUCUCCAUGUGAAGAAAAAGGGGCAGCCACCACAAUUGACUCUAGCUGCUCCAUGCCUUCUUGUUUACACAGCAUGCUUGUUUUUUUCUCUUCACGCAUGCUAUCUCUUUUGCCUUUCUUUCUUUGUCUUCCACAUGGUUUCAUUUUUCUUUGUCUUUCACAUGGUUUCAUCUUUCUUUAUUUCCUACAAGACAAAACCAUUAUGAUGAGGAGGGAACCUAACAGUUCUCUCUCACUUUAAUUCCUACACUGGCCAUUCACUCUUCAUUUUUCAGAGAGGUUUCCUCUGCAACUAGCUUUCAUUUCCUCUUCCAGUUUUCACAGUUCACAGUGGUUUUCCCCUUAAUUUUCGAUCUUGGUGGUUUCCAAUGGAUUUGAGCACCUCCCCAUCUCGUGCUUGGGCUGAAUCAGCUCCCCGUUGGAAUUACGAUAUUUUCUUGAGUUUCAGGGGUGAAGACACCCGCAUGGGUUUUGUCUCCCAUUUAUACCGUGAACUGCAGUACCGGCUAGUAUUCAAGACUUUCAAGGACGACCGAGAGCUUGAAAUCGGAGCUAGUAUCUCUCCGGAGCUCUUGAGAGCAAUCGAGCAAUCACAUCUCGCCAUCGUUGUUCUCUCACCCAACUAUGCUUCUUCCACUUGGUGCUUGGAUGAACUUUCCAAAAUUAUCGAGUCCAUGGAAACCGGAGAUAAGAGAAUUCUGCCGGUUUUCUUUAAUGUGGAUCCAUCCGACGUUCGACAUCAAAGGAGCAGCUUUGCUGAAGGAUUUGCUAAGCAUGAAGUAAAGUUCAGUGCCGACCCAGAGAAGGUGGAGAGGUGGAGAGAGGCUUUAAGAAAAGUGGCCAAUCUUUCUGGAUGGGAUAAAAAAAAUUAUAAAUGUGAAAGUGAGCUUAUAGAAGUCAUUGUGAAACGUGUGUGGGAGAAAAUGCUUCCUACGAUCACAUUGUCAGAUUCCAAAGAAAAGUUAGUCGGAAUUGAAUUUAUACUCAGGCAAAUGGGUUUGCUUUUAGCUCCUGAGGAGAAGGAUGUUCGAUUUAUAGGAAUAUGGGGUAUGGGUGGAGUGGGUAAGACUACCCUUGCUAGGCUAGUGUUCGAGAGAAUUUCCCAUUAUUUUGAAGUGGCUGAGUUUCUUGAUGUCCGGAAGUUUCAUGGUCCACUAGUUAAUCUUCAAAAACAGGUUCUUUCCCCAGUCUUGAAGGAAAAUGUUUCACAAGUUUGGGAUGAGUACAAAGGAACCUUUUUCAUUAGAAAAUGCCUGUCUAAUAAAAAGGUUCUUCUUGUUGUUGAUGAUGUUGAUAGCUGUGACAUCCUAGAAAAAGUGGCUCUAGAUAAAUCUUGGUUUGGUGAUGGAAGCAGAAUCAUUGUUACAACUAGAGAUAAACGUCUCCUCACCGAGCGUCGUAUAGAAUUAUCAUUUGAGCUAGGGCGGUUAAAUGACAAUAAUGCUCUUGAGCUCUUUAGUCACAAAGCCUUCGAAAAAGAUCAGCCAGAGGAAGGGUUUUUAGAGCUUUCCAAGUGUUUUGUAGAUUAUGCCAAAGGGCUCCCAUUAGCUCUUAAAACUCUGGGAAGUUCUUUGUAUCAGAGAAAGCUAGAGGAAUGGAAUAGUGCAUUGGAGUCACUAAAGAGAAUUCCUAAUCCGACAAUUUUCGAUUCGCUCAAAUUAAGUUAUGAUGCCCUGAUUCAUUUGCAACAGGAGAUUUUCUUGGACAUUGCAUUCUUCUACAAGAGGGUGGAGAAGGGGCGAGUUAAUCAACUGCUAGAAUAUUGUUAUGACUAUAAUUGUCUUAUUGAGAUAAAUGUUCUUAUCGAGAAAUCUCUCUUAACUAUUGAUCUGGACAACAAUGUCGGGAUGCAUGGUUUGAUAGAAGAAAUGGCAUGGGAAAUUGUUUGUCAACACUCUCGUGAGGAGCCUGGUCUUCGCAGCCGUUUGUGUCAUCGUAAGGACAUCUUUCUUGUAUUCACGGGAAAUACGGGAACAGAAGCAAUCAGAGGCAUACGGUUAUGUUUACCUUGUUUAGAAGAGGCAGAUUCAAGCUGGAAUUUUGAAUGCUUCUCUAGGAUGCGCAAACUAAAGUUUCUUGAAUUUGAUAAUUUAAUAAUUAGUUCAGGCCCCAAAUUCCUCCCAAAUUCCUUGAGAAUUCUCAUAUGGAAUUGGUAUCCUUCCAAAUCUCUUCCAGCUAGUUUCCGGCCAAAUAUGCUUGCUGCACUGAAGAUGCAAAGAAGCAAUCUUGUCCGGCUUUGGGAUGGAAGACAGGACUUGCCUUCCUUGAAAGAAAUAGAUCUUAGUGAGUCCAAAAACUUGAAGGAGACCCCAAAUUUCACAGGUAUUCCGAAUCUUGAGGUGUUGUGGCUUGCAGAAUGUGACGGUUUAGUUAAGGUCCAUCCAUCCAUUGCAGUCCACAAAAAGCUUAAACGGUUGACACUCCAAAAAUGUAAAAAUGUUAGGAGUUUCCCAAGUAAGAUUGAAAUGGAUUCUCUCGAGUUUCUCAGCCUUGAUGACUGCUCAAAAGUAAAGAUUCCAGAAUUUGGAGAAGGGAUGAAAAAUUUGUUUAGACUUGAGAUAUCUGGGACCUUAACUGAGGAACUACCUUCAUCAAUUGAACAUCUGGUUGGCCUUACUUAUCUGAUUAUAUGUGAUAGCAAAAGUCUCCAGAGUCUCCCGGGUACGGCAGUUUUUAAACUGAAGUCUCUUCAAGGACUCAAUAUGCGUGGAUGCCCAAAGCUUAAGAAACUUGCAGAAAAUAUGGGGGAGAUAGUGUCCGAAAAACCGCCAGCCUUGCGACGUUUAUCAUCUAUGAAAAGUAAGCUUAUGGCCUCUACGGGCUUAUUUAAAAGAAAGAGUCCAGAGCCUUUGUGCUUGCCGCCAACUCCAAGGGCUUUACCGUCUUUGCAGUCGUUAUAUCUAAAUGAUUGUAAUUUGUGUCAAGGAGUUAUCCCCGACGAUAUUGGCUACUGCUUUCCAUCUCUACAAUACUUGUUUGUUGGAGGAAAUAAUUUUGUUAGUCUUCCUGCAAGCAUUAAAUGCCUCUCUCAGCUUCAGGUCAUUAAUUUGAAGAGGUGCAAAAGGCUUGAACAAUUACCGGAUCUCCCAUCGAAAGAUGCAUUAGAAGUAUGGGCAGACGAUUGUGAUUCCUUAAAAAUGUUGUCAGAACCAUCGCAGCAGGGCACAAUCACCAAUUUGAAGUUCUUUCGCUUAACAACUGUCAAUUGCUUUGGAUUGAUUGACAAUGAAGGCUUCAAUAAUCGAAUAUUUUCAAUGCUAAGGAGAUUGGCCACUCAGGGGAUCUCUCCCGAGUUAUUUGACUCAUCCCACUAUGGUGCUCCUCCUCCGUCACUCGAUAUUGUAAGUCCUGGAAGUAAGAUUCCAGACUGGUUCGAUAUUCAAAGCGAGGGAGAUUCAUUGACUGCUCAGCUGGCUCCGGAUCGGGAAUCAGAGUUGAUGGGCAUUGUGUUUUGUGUUGUUUUUGCCGAUCAGAAAGAUCCUGUCACUCUCGAGUCUAAUCAAUUGACAAUUGACUGUUCAUCGCCAGCGAUUCAUCAAGGAUACUAUCAAUUUCUGCCUUUAGCAGACCCAAGGCAUAUGAUGGGAGAUCAUCUUUGGGUGGUUUUUAUGCCUCAUGGUCGAAUCAAGUAUACCACAAGCUGCUCUAUUAGGUUCUCAUUCGACGCGUAUUAUUACCGAGGGAUUACUAAUGAUUAUAUUUCAUGCUCGACUUAUCACGGCAGGAUUACUGAUUAUAUUCCAUGCUCGAAUUGUGUGAAGAGGUGUGGGGCUCGAUUGUUGUACGAGCAAGAUUUGAAAAACCUCCUCAAUGGAAUGGAACAACCAACAUCUUGAAGCGGAGUCGUGAAUAUUGUGACUCGGAGGAGGCAGAGGCAGAGGCAGAGGAAGGUCCAAGUUCAAUUGCAAAGUGGUAGCUCUAACAAAGAAUCAUUUUUCAAAACACUCAAGGCAUGAAUACUAAUUCUCUGGAGAGGAACUACGUACCCCUUUCUGCUUCUGAUUUUCGUACAGCUGGGCUGCUAGUGGUCUCUCUGGCGAUAAUAGUCUUCCGCUAUUCUUCCUUUGAGUACUUGAGGAGCCCGUCCACAACAAGAUUUGUGGCACAUUGGCCGGGGCUAUCUCUGCCUCCGUCACGAUGCCACGUUGAUGUUGUUAAGACGAGGCUGAUCAAGAUGUUGAUUUGAUUGGUUUGAGAUUUCUCUUCCAUAUUCCUUUUCAUUUGUUGUCCUCAUUCCUUCUACUGCUCAAAUUCAUUCCUACACAUAGUAAAUUAUUGUAGCAAUUUUUAGUGUCCUGUAAAUUAAUUUUCUAAGAGUAAUGAGUAGAAGACUAGAAGUGGAAGUCGAAGACCAUGAACCAGUUCAUUACUUUCUAUGUUCUCUUUCACGAAAUGUUAAUGCAUAAUGCCGUAGAGAUAUCAUUACUUUCUAUGUUCUCUUUCACGAGUUGUAUUCAUCUUACUAUUUAUAUCGUUCCUCUUUUAUUACUGCAAUAUGUAAAUCAUUCCACUUUGUCUCUGUAUUUCUAGAAUUCUGUUUUCUGUUAGCAACAAAAUAUGGAAAAUGAUAGUACUGUGGCGUAGGACAAAAGGCAGGGGUGGAGGGAGCAUAGCAGCAGCGUACUCUGCUGCACCCCCUGAACCAUAGGAAAGGGCAAAAACAUAAAUA